AUGCAAGUGUAAGUUCACGCCACGCUUUAGAACGGGCGAAACCGCGAAUGGCUCAGGAACCGGACCUAAUCCUCGGGACCGUAAUCCUCCUCGGAGGCGAUGGAUAACUGUGGCAAUUCUAGAGCUAAUACAUGUGACACAAGCCGCGAUCGGGCGUUGCAUAGUGGUCGCCUCGCCUCGCGCGACGGCACCCGCAGCGUCCGUCUUGGGUCGCGGCGCUACAUAUUAGACUGAGACCGAUGCGUCGUACGUGCUGCUUCGGCGGUACACGCGACGCUCCGCUUUGGUGACUCUGGAUAACUCACUGGUCGAUCGCACGGGUCUCGCACCCGGCGACGGGUCCCUCGAGGGUCCGCCCUAUCAACUGUCGACGGUCGGUUAAGUGCCUACCGUGGUUACUACGGGUAACGGGGAAUCGGGGUUCGAUUCCGGAGAGGGAGCAUGCGAAACGGCUACCACA
rnacentral:rRNA from 1 species